GCUGUAUAAGCACUCUGCUCUGGUGCAUCUUCUUGUAACAGUUCGAGAUUUGCUUUUGGCAUGUGGUCUUGAUGCUGCUGUAGGCUACAUGACGAGAGCCAAGGACACCUACACAAGCUCACUGGGUGCUUGUUUAAAUGAUGUUUGGAGAAGACUCAGGGUUGUCCAAUACUUUAGCCAAAGCACAGAAGAAAUUAAUCCAAAAAUAGCUGAGUUACAAAAACAGAUGUCAAAGUGGAUCCAGAGAAGUAUAUCACAUGAGCAUGAUUUUAAAGUGCUUGUAAUAAUCAGAAUGGAUUCAGAUUGUGUAAGGGAAAGUCUUAUUAAUAGUCUCAG